CGAACGGGUGAGUAACAUAUCGGAACGUGCCCUGGAGUGGGGGAUAACUAGUCGAAAGAUUAGCUAAUACCGCAUACGUCCUACGGGAGAAAGCGGGGAUCGCAAGACCUCGCGUUAUAGGAGCGGCCGAUGUCGGAUUAGCUAGUUGGUGGGGUAAAGGCCUACCAAGGCUACGAUCCGUAGCUGGUCUGAGAGGACGACCAGCCACACUGGAACUGAGACACGGUCCAG
rnacentral:rRNA from 1 species